rnacentral:lncRNA from 1 species
AAACUUUCCAGUUUUGGAACUGUAUGUGUUUACAUCAUUUGAAAUUUGCUCCAAGUCACCUUCUGAUGCUCUUUGAGUAUCUUGAGUGUUUUUACUCUUGUUUGCAUCAUUCCCCCUCCCCUCAAAAGGAUUCGUCCUCGAAUCAAUUCUUGCAUCAAUUUCAAAAGGGGAUAGAUUAUAUAUGUUAAAUGUAGCCGAAACACUAUACUCACCUAGUAGGUCCACUUUCUAGGCAUUUUCAUUGAUUUUGGCUAUGAUUUGAAAUGGACCAUCCCCAUGAGCAUCCAACUUAGAUUUCUGUUUUGAUGGAAAUCGUUCCUUGCGCAUAU